GGGCCCGCACAAGCAGUGGAGUAUGUGGUUUAAUUCGAAGCAACGCGAAGAACCUUACCAGGUCUUGACAUCUCCUGCAUACCAUAGAGAUAUGGGAAGCCCUUCGGGGCAGGAAGACAGGUGGUGCAUGGUUGUCGUCAGCUCGUGUCGUGAGAUGUUGGGUUAAGUCCCGCAACGAGCGCAACCCUUGUAUUUAGUUGCUACGCAAGAGCACUCUAAAUAGACCGCCGUUGACAAAACGGAGGAAGGUGGGGAUGACGUCAAAUCAUCAUGCCCUUUAUGACCUGGGCUACACACGUACUACAAUGGCAAUCGAACAGAGGGAAGCAAACGCGCGAGCGCAAGCGGAACCCAAAAAAUUGUCUCAGUUCGGAUUGCAGGCUGCAACCCGCCUGCAUGAAGUCGGAAUUGCUAGUAAUCGCGGAUCAGCAUGCCGCGGUGAAUACGUUCCCGGGCCUU
rnacentral:rRNA from 1 species